UAUUUAGUUGCUUUAUGUUGUGCCACACGUGUUAAAUUGGUCCAGAAAAUUCCACUAAAUUAUGGAAAGCAAUCUUCAAGAAAACUAACAUGCGUGAUUCGUGUUUCGUGGAAUAUAACUAAAAAGGUGUUCCAUGCUGAAAGCAACUAAUUGGUCCAGAUUGUACUUGUUUAUUUGCUUAAAGCAGUGGUCGGCACACACAUACCA